rnacentral:rRNA from 1 species
UACGAAGGGUGCAAGCGUUACUCGGAAUUACUGGGCGUAAAGCGUGCGUAGGUGGUUCGUUAAGUCUGAUGUGAAAGCCCUGAGCUCAACCUGGGAAUGGCAUUGGAAACUGGCGACCUAGAGUGCGGUAGAGGGUAGUGGAAUUCCCGGUGUAGCAGUGAAAUGCGUAGAGAUCGGGAGGAACAUCUGUGGCGAAGGCGACUACCUGGACCAGCACUGACACUGAGGCACGAAAGCGUGGGGAGCAAACAGG